UGGGCUGUGGCUCAGUGGUAGAGUACUUGCCUGGCACACAUGAGGCACUGGGUUCUAUCCUCAGCACCAA
rnacentral:tRNA from 1 species